rnacentral:rRNA from 1 species
UGCGAGUCGACGAGAACGGGUCUUAGCUUGCUAAGAUUGUCAGCUAAGUGGCGCACGGGUGAGUAAUAUAUAGUUAACCUGCCCUAGAGAGAGGGAUAACGUUUGGAAACGGACGCUAACACCUCAUAUGCCUUUAAGUCAAAAGACUGCAAGGGAAACAUUUAUGGCUCUAGGAUGGGACUGUACGGUAUCAGUUAGUUGGUGAGGUAAUGGCUCACCAAGACAAUGACACCUAACUGGUUUGAGAGGAUGAUCAGUCACACUGGAACUGAGACACGGUCCAGACUCCUACGGGAGGCAGCAGUGGGGAAUAUUGCACAAUGGACGAAAGUCUGAUGCAGCAACGCCGCGUGGAGGAUGACACAUUUCGGUGCGUAAACUCCUUUUAUAUAGGAAGAUAAUGACGGUACUAUAUGAAUAAGCACCGGCUAACUCCGUGCCAGCAGCCGCGGUAAUACGGAGGGUGCAAGCGUUACUCGGAAUCACUGGGCGUAAAGAGAAUGUAGGCGGGUAAUUAAGUCAGAAGUGAAAUCCAAUAGCUCAACUAUUGAACUGCUUUUGAAACUGAUAACCUAGAAUAUGGGAGAGGUAGAUGGAAUUUCUGGUGUAGGGGUAAAAUCCGUAGAGAUCGGAAGGAAUACCGAUUGCGAAGGCGAUCUACUGGAACAUUAUUGACGCUGAGAUUCGAAAGCGUGGGGAGCAAACAGGAUUAGAUACCCUGGUAGUCCACGCCCUAAACGAUGCACACUAGUUGUUGCUAUGCUAGACAUAGCAGUAAUGCAGUUA